GAUGAACGCUGGCGGCGUGCCUAAUACAUGCAAGUCGAGCGAACAGACGCGGAGCUUGCUCCUCUGACGUUAGCGGCGGACGGGUGAGUAACACGUGGAUAACCUACCUAUAAGACUGGGAUAACUUCGGGAAACCAGAGCUAAUACCGGAUAAUAUAUUGAACCGCAUGGUUCGAUAGUGAAAGACGGUUUUGCUGUCACUUAUAGCUGGAUACGCGCCGCAUUAGCUAGUUGGUAAGGUAACGGGUUACCAAGGCAACGAUGCGUAGCCGACCUGAGAGGGUGGUCGGCGACAUUGGAGCUGAGACGCGGUCCUGACUCCUACGGGAGGCAGCAGUAGGGAAUCUGCCGCAAUGGGGGGAAGCCUGACGGAGCAACGCCGCGUGAGUGAUGAAGGUCUUCGGAUCGUAAAACUGUGUUAUUAGGGAAGAACAAAUGUGUAAGUAACUAUGCACGUAUUGACGGUACCUAAUCAGAAAGCCACGGCUAACUACGUG
rnacentral:rRNA from 1 species